CUGCUUGGCAGUUCUUCCUCAUAGUCAACUCUGUGGAAUUUGGGACGAGGGAUAAUUUUUCAAAGGAGGGUGUUUGGGGGGAUAGAAAAAACUGAUGAGAAAAAAGAAUGAUUAAAUUCGCAAUACUCGAGUUCUAUGCAAAGAAUGCGUUUGGAAAAACGAGUCUCUAUUGGCUUUUGGAGUUCUACGGUGUUUGGAUGCCAAAUUGUUGAACUAAAUCAACCUCUGUUUUCCAGGAAAAUUGCUUCCACUUCUUUCUGGGAUUUCGGAGCUACCCCGCCGAUUUCAACUUCCAAACUGAAUUUUGGUGGCUUCAUCUGUUUCAUGGGCUCUAGUCAAGAUUAAGCAGUAUUAGUACCUGAUACAAAUGGCGCAGCUUUACAGAAGCAAAUGUAAUAGCCCAUCCACGCACGGGUCCUUCUUGUUGUCUCCAGAAAGGGAAAGCAGAAAAGAUAGAAACAGGAAUCUACCCUGUGACAGAGGUUCAAGAAUGAAUUUUCCAUUAUUCUGGGCUGCAGGCUGCUUCUUCUGUCUGUAAACACCCAACUGUUAGGAAACCCUUUGUUUUAAUUUCUUAGUAAAAAGAAGCGAAAGUGAGAAGACACCAGUCAGCAGAAGUAGAGAGUAAUUCUUACUAGCUUGGAGGUCAAGUUUCUGAGUCCAACAGAUACCAGCUUGGAGCUCAAGUUUGAGUCCAGUUUCAGAGUCUAAAUAGUUAUAGUUUUUUGUCUCGUUUUCAAAGUCACUCUCAAAAAUGAAAGCAAAGAAAAAAGCAUGGAGUUGGAAGCUACUUGGCUACU